GAAUCUUCCACAAUGGGCGAAAGCCUGAUGGAGCGACACUGCGUGAGGGAUGAGGCCUUCGGGUCGUAAACCUCUAAAACGGGGACGAACCAUGACGGUACCCGUUGAGAAGCACCGGCUAACUCCGUGCCAGCAGCCGCGGUAAUACGGAGGGUGCAAGCGUUAUCCGGAAUCACUGGGCGUAAAGGGCGCGUGGGCGGUCCAUUAAGUCCGAUGUUAAAGACCGGGGCUCAACCCCGGCACGGCGUUGGAUACUGUUGGGCUGGACGGCKGGAGAGGCGAGUGGAAUUACCAGUGUAGCGGUGGAAUGCGUAGAUACUGGUARGAACACCCAUGGCGAAGGCAGCUCGCUGGACAGCACGUGACGCUGAGGCGMGAAAGUGUGGGGAGCAAACCGGAUUAGAUACCCGGGUAGUCCACACCCUAAACGAUGCAUACUUGGUGUUGGCCCGUUGGGUCAGCGCCGGAGCUA
rnacentral:rRNA from 1 species